rnacentral:rRNA from 1 species
GUGCCAGCAGCCGCGGUAAUACGUAGGGGGCAAGCGUUGUCCGGAUUCAUUGGGCGUAAAGAGCGUGUAGGCGGCCUGAAAGGUCAGCUGUGAAAACUCGGGGCUCAACCCCGAGACGUCGGUUGAAACCAUCUGGCUAGAGUCCGGAAGAGGAGUGUGGAAUUCCCGGUGUAGCGGUGAAAUGCGCAGAUAUCGGGAAGAACACCCGUGGCGAAGGCGGCACUCUGGGACGGUACUGACGCUGAGACGCGAAAGCGUGGGGAGCGAACAGGAUUAGAUACCCGCGUAGUCC